rnacentral:lncRNA from 1 species
CAGAAGUGAAAUACAAUGUAUCAAGUGUAUGAGUGUGUCCUCAUUGCACGUCUGUUAUUUGAUGUCGCACCUCAAAUGAUGAGCUGGUGGACUGAGACCAGAUGGGGGGUGAAAUAGGUGGUGACAUGACAGUGUGUUAUCAGAGGACUGAGACCAGAUGGGGGGUGAAAUAGGUGGUGACAUGACAGUGUGUUAUCAGAGGACUGAGACCAGAUGGGGGGUGUAAUAGGUGGUGACAUGACAGUGUGUUAUCAGAGGACUGAGACCAGAUGGGGGGUGAAAUAGGUGGUGACAUGACAGUGUGUUAUCAGAGGACUGAGACCAGAUGGGGGGUGAAAUAGGUGGUGACAUGACAGUGUGUUAUCAGAGGACUGAGACCAGAUGGGGGGGUGUAAUAGGUGGUGACAUGACAGUGUGUUAUCAGAGGACUGAGACCAGAUGGGGGGUGUAAUAGGUGGUGACAUGACAGUGUGUUAUCAGAG